rnacentral:rRNA from 1 species
CGUUAGGGAGCUGUCGAAGGUGGGAUCGGCGAUUGGGACGAAGUCGUAACAAGGUAGCCGUACCGGAAGGUGCGGCUGGAUCACCUCCUUUCUAAGGAGCA